rnacentral:lncRNA from 1 species
CCACUUGCUACAUUAUUUAAAGAGGUGAGUGCUCUAAAAAAAGAAGAUACGAGGAAAUAAAAAGGGGCAAGUGCCCGGAACCUCGAAAGAAAAGAAAAAGUGAGACGAGAGGUAAAAAUGGACAAGUGUCCGACAGUAGAAUUAGGGGUACAAGAUACCCACUUGAGAGAAAAUAAAAAGAAAAUAUAGAGCAUCUCAUUCUCCUCAAAAAGUUUUAAAAGAGCAAGAAAGGUAUAUAUCCCCUCAAAAGAGCAAAAGUAGAAUUAGACUUUCACCAUUAUCACCAUUCAUUCGCCACACAUGCAUAUCUUGAUUUGACUUAUUGACUUGAUCUUCUGGUUCCAUGGUUUGACUCUGCAAUAAAUGUCUUGUAAGUUUGUAUUAGCUGUCUCCCACCUAUGAGCUCCAGAUAUCAAAAGCCUUAUUAGAGUAGGGUGAGAGAGAAGGCAAUGUCACUAUGCCUCAUAUCAAAAAUACCACAUACUUUGAGAGAAGGCAUACACCUUUACUGCCUU